GCGACAGAAGACGAAGGUGGUGUUUUAUUACGAACAACCUCGUUGCAAAGCACAAGAAGGUCCAGGAAACAACAACUGCCCAUAAUAAAUAGAACCCAGGUGAAACUGGGCUGUACGGUAGAACAAACAGUAAAUAAAUUAGAUGGAACCCCCCAUUUGAUCAAUAAAUUUAAAAAGAAAAAACAGACAAACAAUCUGCUAAUUAAAAGCCCACUUCCAAAUCCGGGUCUACUU
rnacentral:lncRNA from 1 species